GGCCUUGGGGGGCACCCCCGCCCCCGCCCCGCGCCCUGCGGGGGCUCCCGUUGCUCUUCUCCUGCUUUCCGGCGCUCCCCGUUUCCACAGCGUUGGGAUUGGGAGUCAGGCUGAAGCUGCUGGUGCUUACCCACAAGACGAGAAUACUGAGGACAUGUAGAGGAGAUCAGAUGACCUGCUUGGAGUUCAUUCCCACCUUAUAGACGGGCUGAGGAGAGAAGGGAAUAAAUUAUGCCGGUGACUGCAGGCGCCUGGACCUUCUGAUCAUAGCCGCCCACUGAAGAUAGUCACAUAUCAAUUUGGACGGAGGGAAUCACAUUCUUGGAGGCAAAGGGUAUGCACCCAGCUGCUGCUUCUGACCUGAGUCUCAUCCGGCUGAACGGCAGAGGAGCCAAGUGCGUGAGGAGUGAAGAUUCGGCCAGGAUAUGAAGAAUAAUGACCCAGAGCCUUUCCAAUUCCCUUUCUGGGAACCCUCAAUAGGGAGUGAGUUCACCAUCCCUAGACGUGUCCAAGCAGCAGCUUGCUGUCCACUCAUAGCAGACGAGCUGGCUGAGCUGGCCCCCGGGGGACCCCUCUGGUCCAGGAAGUCCCUGAGGUUUCAGAAGGGGCGGCUCAUGGCAGCUCAGCGUGGGCGUCCCACUGCCUGGCCCCCAUUUCAGCUGCCUGGUGGUUCUUAGGCCACCAAACGGGGGCCCCAUGUGGAGUCUUCCAAGUUCUUCUUUCCCUGAAUGGGCACUGGGCCAAAUGACCCAAGUGGUUGCUGUUUCCACCAGCAUGUACUUCUGGAAAUUGCCAGGACCUUCAGGAAUCUUCGAGGAUGAUGGAUGAGGAUGAGGUGACGCUGAGCGAGGUGCCGCGGAUCAGGCAAAGGUCCCUCGGGGCUCCUUGGGUGAAUCACAGUUCAUCGUGAUAAGUCCUGCCAAGGGUGGGGCGUGAGGCGGGGGCUACGGAAGAUUCUUCCAUCUCCUCCAUUUCUGGGAAUGUUUCUCCAGAGAAGCAUUAACAAGAGCUCUGGUGAUCUCAUCUUCGCUUCCCAGCCAGCCCACUCUCCACAGCUUGAGCAAAUCCAGGCAGUGCGUGCAUGGACUCGUUCAUUCAUUCACGUGCCACACACUGUGGGUGCAGAGACCGAGCUGGAGGCCCUGGCGUCGGGGAGCUCGGAGUGGGCGAGGUUUCCAAGGGCUGAGGAGACAGGGUUCCCUGGGUUGAGUGGAGCCGGACCCAGGACGGUACUAUAGGUAACUGGCAUCUGUGGUGAGCUUACCAGCACGUGGCUGUCCCGACAGCCCUGGAAGACAAGGACUUGUCUGGCACUAAAGGACCCGAGCCUCGGAGAAGGUGAAUGGCCGGCACUAGGCCACGCCGUGGCCACCCCCACCUCCCACCCCCUGCCCGUCUGACUCCGAAGUCUGCACUGAGCACGUCCUAUGCUGCCGUGCAGCCCUGAGUCUAUCCUGCUGAAAUACAGGAGAUAAAAAUAAGACCUUGACUAUUUGGACUGUGGGAUCCUAAAAUUAAAGCGAUCUCCCCAUAACCUGUCUGCUUCUGUUAGCACAGGCUUGUGGAGGAUGCAGAAUGCUGUUCAUUUGAACAGAAGGGUGAAGGUUGAUGUGACACGGCAGACAUCACACAUACCAGUACGGUGUCGUGUGAGGUGGGACCCUGUCACUGCCCCCGGGAGAGAGCAGGGUCUUCCCGCAGGAAGGGGGUCACAUGCAGUCACGCCACCCAGGGCCCUAUAGCACAUGACCUUCUCCGGGGCACAAAGAUCGAAAACAAGGGCUUGGCCAUUGCUGUCCUUUCAGACCCUGCCGCCCUGGCUGACGGUGGCAGAUUUGGAUUG